GCCGGGCAUGGUGGCGCAUGUCUGUAAUCCCAGCUACUUGGGAGGCUGAGUCAGGAGAAUCACUUGAUCCCAGGAGGCAGAGGUUGCAGUGAGCUCAGAUUGUGCCAUUGCACUCUCGCCUGGGCAACAAGAGCGAAACUCUGUCUCAA
ensembl:misc_RNA Metazoa_SRP Metazoan signal recognition particle RNA